ACCGUUUCGUCUAGCAUCAAUACCCCUUACAAGAAUGAAUUGAUACUAAUACAGAUGUAAACUGUGACCAUUCCUCAUCUUCAAACAUCACCUGACCUCAGUUUGACCUUGACCUCGAUUUGGACUUCGGUGCAAAAUCUAUCAACAAGGAUGCCACUGGGGGCAUCAAGCUUUUAUUGAACCUAGCGGGGCGGAGUUAAUCUCUGACAUAUGCAAAUAAUGGUAAUCAAAAAAAAAAAAUGGGCAAAAUAGGUAGAGCAAUUUCAUUGUUUCAUUCCGUAAUUUUUGGUAGCCAUCUACUAAAAAUCAAUACUACAUUGGUUACAUAUACUACAUACCCUGCAGAAAAAUGUAGUGGACUGUUGCAAAAGCACACCCGCCAUACACUAUACACAAGAGCCACCCAUUUCAUUUGUUUAUUAAUUACCACCCUUUAAUUUGAUUAUGAUAAAAUAUUUCAUUAUAUUCUUUUCUUUCAUUACCAGUUUGAAAAUUUAAUCUUUAUAAUACAGAUAUUAGCGUUUGAAUGCAUUCGCCUAUUAAAGCAUUCAACUAUUGUAGAUUCCUAAACAUUAAUCAUGAAUAAUAUGCUAUAUAUUUAUUACUUACAUGCAUUGUAAGUAUGUUGCCCUAUUAUUUAGAAGAUGCUGUAUUGGCAUGUAGUAUGUUUUGUGAAAAAUGUCCUUAGGUAGGAAGGUUGGUAAUUGUUACAAAUUCUUUUUUGGGAUGUUUUUUUUUGUUUUGUUUUUUCAGUUCCUGUUUGAUGUAGUUUGUAGCAAGAUAGAAGUAGCACCAAAAUUCCAUAUGGUAGAAGAAAGUUCAGAGGUGAAAAUUACUACAGACCAUACAGGCCCUGUAGAAAAUCUGAAGAAGACUUUGUUCAUCAUAGAAGAAGAAUACAAUCAAGAUGAAACCAUUACAAAUUAUGACGAGGUAUUCUUUCAAGAAGAAAAGUUGUGAACUUAGUGCCUUACCAAGCUACAACAAGGAGGAGAUGGAUGUUGAUAUCGGUGUGAAGUCAUGCAUAAAUCAGAAAAAAGAUGAAUUUUAAACCUCACAUGGUUCAAGGAGUUCUACACUUAAACAUCAGAUACUCUUUUAGCUGUUGGUUGUUUGUUUUCAAAGGUUCAAAAGGAAAAUGGUUUUGAAAAGUAGAAUAAUGAUGGACUGCAGAAGUUAAAAAAAUAUAGAAUAACUCCAGAUAGCUUGUGUAUAAACUUCAGAAUGUGAACAGUUUAUAAUUUGACUGUACUUGAGGAGCAAAAGCUUCAUACUUUUAAAUCGACCAGUUUUAGUUUUGUUGUUUUUAAAAGAAGGUUUUGUUUUCAUCAGGCAGAUGCUUUAUUUUUGUUAGAAAAGAAAAGUUGUACAAGAUAAUUUUCAGGCAUGAGUCUGAUAAAAUAUCUUUACCUUUUUAUGAUGUUUAUGAUAGAACUGUAAAGAAAGUAGUUUCAACACACACUUAGUACUUUUUUACUGUUUUAAAAUAGCAAAUUUACUAAGCAGUGUCCUGGUUCAUCAAUGUUUUAAGGGAAGACUUUUACUUAGAUUUUAGAUACAUGCAGAUUCAGGGUACAUAGGUACUGGUUCAACUGUUGAUGCCCCAAAUAAAAAGAAAUUGUUUGAACAGAAAUAUUCAGUUUGAAAAAGAGGCUUAAAAGUGUCCACCAGUUUUAUUUUACUUACAAUGUUUGAUGAAAAAGAGUCUAGGUUGGCUAUACAAGUGCUCAUACACAGUGUCUUAAUAUGACCAAGUCACUGUUUAAUGUCUUUUACAGUUGUUAAAAAUGUAUUGUACCAUUGCACGUCUUUUACAGUUGUUAAAAAUGUAUUGUACCAUUGCACAUUACCAUAUCACUUCCAAGUAUUAUGUUUAAAAUCUAAAUUCACCAAGCAUUUUGACUGAAUUAUGGCCCCUUUUCGUCGUUUUCGACUUAGUUUAUGCUUACUGUAGGCUUGCUUAUUUUAGCGGUGUACUAAUAACAGCGCUUUUAGCACUAUCGCACGUGUGCUAAUUCAUGUCCGCGCAUUAAUUUGUCCAAGCAUUUUCAUGUACAUUUUCGUUUGAUGAUGUUUUCUUCGAACUUUUGCAAAUAAAUACUCUUGACAGUUUGCACUAGUUACACUGCUUGCUAAUAUUUUAAGGUUCGUAUGAUAUUCCUGUUUAUUGUUCAUAUUAUUAUUUUAAAUAUAUCAUCAUACCAAAUAAAAUAUUUAAGCUUGUAGUUUGUGUUUUUUCUCAUUUGAUCAAGUUGUUAUCGAUUUCCGUAUCACCUUCGGGCAUGUCCGUUGUUGCAGUCGCUCGUUUACGGAAAGGUGUUAACGUUUGUAUUAAGACACAAUGCAUGUAGGACAAAGGAGAUUCAAUGAUUAAAAUGUGUGACAAUCUGGUUUUAUUUCAGCAAUUAUAACUAGUAUACAGAAUAUAUAACACGCAGAUUAUUAUAAUUAAAUACAAGAAGAGAUUUACGGUAUAACACUUAAGUAAAUAAUUUAAAAUAAAUAUUACUUUCUUUAGCCCGCCAACAGUGAAAAAAGUUGAUCUCAUAAUCAGUAUGACGCAUAAUUGCAGCAGAAACACAUUACAUAAAAAUUGCCGAUGGUUAAGUUUAUUUCCGAAUAUUUUCAAGAAUCUCCGUAAAUCUUCGAUAGCCUCAUCUCGGACAGCGCUAAAAUUAGAAAUUAGCGGUCUCGCGAGAGCGCUAAUUCACGUCCACGCAUUAAUUAGAUAUUUCACCAAAAAUUGCGUUUGCACUAAAUUUUUGCCGUACUAAUAAAUGUACGCCUACAGUAUUGUAAUGUCAAGUUUUACUCAUAGCUUAUAUUAUACUAUCAACCACUGAGAAUAGUUUAGCCCGCUGUCAGCUGACAGCUCUUGUUUUCAAAUGGGGUCUCUUGGCCCUUUCUAGGGGCUACUACAGCUAAAAAUAGGAAAAACCUUCAAAUCUCUUUUUCCUGAUCCGCUUGAUAAAUCUUCUUCAAACUUGGUCAUACAAAGGUCUUUUCUCAAGUUAUUUGAAAUGGGGUCACUUGAUCCCUUUCAGGGGCUGCUAGAGGUAAAAAUAGAAAUACCUUUAAACAGCUUCAUCUUAUAAACUUCUUGACUAAUCUUAAAGUUGAUCAGAAGCAUCAUUGUGAGGUCCUCUCUAAAUUUUAUACAAAUGAAGGCACUUUGUCUCCAUUUUGAGGCCACCAGAAAAUAUAAAUGCAAAUAUAAAUGCCUUUUAAACAAUCUGUCGUGAAGCAAUGUAUGGAUUGGAACCACUUAAGCUUUUUUUGUAGCAUUCUAGUAAAAUCCUUUCUUAAAUUACUUCUUAUGUGUCAUUAGAGCUAGAAUAAGAAAUAAAUUUUGGUGACUUUUCCCCUUGAACAGUGUGAUUGAUCUUCAUUAUACAGGGUUUGUAGUAUUCUCAAAUUUAUUAAUCCCCCGCCAUGAGUGGUGGUGGUGGGGAUACAGGAAUGGUCUCCGUCCGUCCUUCCAUCUGCCGUGCUUCCGUAACAUUUUGUGUCCACUCUGUAUCUCCUAAACCCCUUGAAGGAAUUUCAUCAAACUUUGGUCAUAACCUCAUCAAGAAUUCAGUCAGCGAUGUCAACUCAAGGUCAAGGUCACAAUUCAAGGUCAAAAGUUCGAGCUCUGUACCUCCUAAACCCCUUAAAGGAUUUUCAUAAAACUUGGGUCAAAUGAUCACCUCAUCAAGCCAGAAUCUAUGGAUCAGCCAUGUCAGUUCAAGAUCAUUGUCACAGUUCAAGGUCAAAGGUUUUACCCUUUCACUAUCCAUAACAGUGGCAGGGGUUUAACUGUCUUUCAGACUGCCUUGUUCAAAUGGGAGUACUUGUCAUGUUAUGUUCUUUUUAUAGUAUACAUAUUUGUUACCAUUCAUGAUAUCUGUGUGUCAUACAUAAUUAUAUUCCAGGUUCAUGUGAGAAACUAAGGACCACUAUGGCUCACAUGUUCUAUUUUUAGCUCACCUGAGCACGAAGAGCUCAAGGUGAGCUUUUGUGAUCGCCCUGUGCCCGUCGUCAACAAUUUGACUGUUAACACUAUAGAGGUCACAAUUUUGUCCUAAUCUUAAUGAAACUUGGUCACAAUAUUACCCUUAAUAAAAUCUUGGAUGAGUUCGAUAUUGGGUCAUCUGGGGUAAAAAACUAGGUCACUGGGUCAGAUCAAAGGAAAAGCUUGUUAACACUCUAGAGGUUACAAUUUUGGCCCAAACUUAAUGAAACUUGGUCAGAAUGUUACCCUCAAUAAAAUCUUGGAUGAGUUCGAUAUUGGGUCAUCUGGGGUCAGAAACUAGGUCACCAGGUCAAAUCAAAGGAAAAGCUUGUUAACACUGUAGAGGCCACAUUUAAGACUAUAUCUUCAUGAAACUUCGUCAGAAUGUUACUCAUGAUGAUCUUAAAGUCUUGUUUGAAUCUGGGUCAUGUAGGGUCAAAAACUAGGCCACCAGGUCAAAUCAAAGGAAAAGCUAGAUAACACUCUAGAGGCCACAUUUAUGACUGUAUCUUCAUGAAACUUAGUCAGAAUGUUACUUACUUUUGAGGUCAUUAAGUAAAAGUGAUACAAAGUGCUUUGCCAUAUUUAAAAAUUUAACACUUCAGUUUGGAAACUUCUUUAUUUUUAGCUCACCUGAGCACAAAGUGCUCAAGGUGAGUUUUUGUGAUCGCCCUGUGUCCGUGGUCCGUCCGUAGUAAACAAUUUAAAUGUUAACACUAUAACAAUCUAGAGGUCACAAUUUUGGCCUAAUCUUAAUGAAACUUGGUCAGACUGUUAAUGAUCUUUAGGUCAAGUUGGAAUCUGGGUCAUGUGGGGGUCAAAAACUAGGUCACCUGGUCAGAUCAACGGAAAAGCUAGUUAACACUUUAGAGGCCAAAUUUAUGACCAUAUCUUAAUGAAACUUGGUCAGAAUGUUAAUCUUGAUAUUUAGGUCAAAAGGUCAGGUGAGCGAUACAGAGCCUUCAUGACACUUGUUUGUUAGAUGUACCAGUUUAAUGCAGAAAUAUAUUAUGCUAAGCUGUUUACAAGCAAUAGCUGGUUUUUUUUUUUUUACCUGGUCACGCUCAAAAUUUCUCUGAAAUAUUCGUUCUUUUUCCACUUUUGUCAAAUUCUUUCUGUAGGCAUAGCCUCAAAAUGGGUGUGCAAUGCUUGUUGUUCCUAGUAGAUAUUUGUUGUUCCUACUAGAUAAGUAAAGCUUUUAUAGACAUUCAGAUGAAACGACAGAACAUAAGUAAAGCUUUUAUAGACAUUUAUAUUCAGAUGAAAAGACAGAACAUUUUUUUUUUUCACUUUUUCAUUUUUUAGGCAUAUUCAUUAUCACCAUUUUCAUAUGCUCUUAUUGUCACUGUGUGACUGUAUUAAGCGUUUCUUUGUUGUUUAAAAUUUCAUUUGAUUUGAAUAAAUUCUAUAUGUGAAAUAUGA